rnacentral:rRNA from 1 species
GACGAACGCUGGCGGCGUGCUUAACACAUGCAAGUCGAGCGAGCGGCGGACGGGUGAGUAAUGUAUGGGGACUGCCCGAUAGAGGGGGAUAACUACUGGAAACGGUGGCUAAUACCGCAGACUGUCGGAUAACCCAUAUGGGAUUAGCUAGUAGGUAAGGUAAUGGCUUACCUAGGCGACGAUCCCUAGCUGGUCUGAGAGGAUGAUCAGCCACACUGGGACGGAGACAAGGCCCAGACUCCGACGGAGGCAGCAGUGGGUAAUAUUGCACAAUGGGCGCAAGCCUGAUGCAGCCAUGCCGCGUGUAUGAAGAAGGCCCUAGGGUUGUAAAGUACUUUCAGUCGGGAGGCGUUACCGACAGAAGAAGCACCGGCUAACUCCGUGCCAGCAGCCGCGGUAAUAC